rnacentral:rRNA from 1 species
GAAUGAACGCUGGCGGCAGGCCUAACACAUGCAAGUCGAGCGGAUGAAGGGAGCUUGCUCCUGGAUUCAGCGGCGGACGGGUGAGUAAUGCCUAGGAAUCUGCCUGGUAGUGGGGGAUAACGUCCGGAAACGGGCGCUAAUACCGCAUACGUCCUGAGGGAGAAAGUGGGGGAUCUUCGGACCUCACGCUAUCAGAUGAGCCUAGGUCGGAUUAGCUAGUUGGUGGGGUAAAGGCCUACCAAGGCGACGAUCCGUAACUGGUCUGAGAGGAUGAUCAGUCACACUGGAACUGAGACACGGUCCAGACUCCUACGGGAGGCAGCAGUGGGGAAUAUUGGACAAUGGGCGAAAGCCUGAUCCAGCCAUGCCGCGUGUGUGAAGAAGGUCUUCGGAUUGUAAAGCACUUUAAGUUGGGAGGAAGGGCAGUAAGUUAAUACCUUGCUGUUUUGACGUUACCAACAGAAUAAGCACCGGCUAACUUCGUGCCAGCAGCCGCGGUAAUACGAAGGGUGCAAGCGUUAAUCGGAAUUACUGGGCGUAAAGCGCGCGUAGGUGGUUCAGCAAGUUGGAUGUGAAAUCCCCGGGCUCAACCUGGGAACUGCAUCCAAAACUACUGACUAGAAUACNGUANAAG